rnacentral:rRNA from 1 species
UUCCGGUUGAUCCUGCCGGACCCGACUGCUAUCAGAGUGGGACUAAGCCAUGCGAGUCAACGCAGCAAUACGUGGCAUACGGCUCAGUAACACGUAGUCAACAUGCCCAGGGGACGUGGAUAACCUCGGGAAACUGAGGAUAAACCGCGAUAGGCCAAGAUUUCUGGAAUGGAUCAUGGCUGAAACCUACAUGGCCCCUGGAUUGGACUGCGGCCGAUCAGGCUGUUGGUGAGGUAAUGGCCCACCAAACCUGUAACCGGUACGGGCUCUGAGAGGAGGAGCCCGGAGAUGGGCACUGAGACAAGGGCCCAGGCCCUAUGGGGCGCAGCAGGCGCGAAACCUCUGCAAUAGGCGAAAGCUUGACAGGGUUACUCUGAGUGAUGUCCGUUAAGGGCAUCUUUUGGCACUUCUAAAAAUAGUGUAGAAUAAGGGGUGGGCAAGUCUGGUGUCAGCCGCCGCGGUAAAACCAGC